GGGAGCAUAGCUCACCGGCAGUGUGUAUGCCUAGAAUGCAUGAGGUCCUGGGUUCAAGCCUCAGUACCUCCA
rfam:Camelus ferus unplaced genomic scaffold scaffold319, whole genome shotgun sequence.